rnacentral:rRNA from 1 species
UACGGAGGGUGCAAGCGUUGCUCGGAAUUAUUGGGCGUAAAGGGUAGGUAGGUGGUCUCGUUUGUCAGGGGUGAAAGCCUUGGGCUUAACUCAAGAAGUGCCCCUGAAACGGCGAGACUCGAAUACUGGAGAGGGUCGUGGAAUUCCCGGUGUAGCGGUGAAAUGCGUAGAGAUCGGGAGGAACACCAGAGGCGAAGGCGGCGACCUGGACAGUGACUGACACUCAACUACGAAAGCGUGGGGAGCAAACAGG